rnacentral:rRNA from 1 species
GACGAACGCUGGCGGCGUGCUUAACACAUGCAAGUCGAACGGAAAGGCCCUGCUUUUGUGGGUUUCUCGAUUGCCGAACGCGUGAGUAACACGUGUGUAUCCUGCCCUUGUCUUUGGGAUAACUUCAGGAAACUGGGGCUAAUACCGGAUAGAAGCUCCUGCUGCAUGGUGGGCGUUGGUAAGUUUCGGCGGUUGUGGAUAGACUCGCGGCUUAUCAGCUUGUUGGUGGGGUAGUGGCUUACCAAGGCUUUGACGGGUAGCCGGCCUGAGAGGGUGAACAGGCACAAUGGGACUGAGAGACGGACCAGACGGCAACGGGAGGCAGUAGGGGGGAAUAUUACACAAUGGGCGGGAGUCUGAGGCAGAAACGCCGCGUGCGGGAUGACGGCCUUCGGGGGGUAAACAGCUGUCGCCUGUGACGAAGCGUGAGUGACGGUAAUGGGUAAAGAAGCACCGGCUAACUACGUG